CGCCUGGGGAGUGCGGCCGCAAGGCUAAAACUCAAAGGAAUUGACGGGGCCCCGCACAAGCGGCGGAGCAUGCGGAUUAAUUCGAUGCAACGCGAAGAACCUUACCUGGGUUUGACAUGGAUCGGAAGCUUCCAGAGAUGGUUGUGCCUCUUUUGGGGUCGGUUCACAGGUGGUGCAUGGCUGUCGUCAGCUCGUGUCGUGAGAUGUUGGGUUAAGUCCCGCAACGAGCGCAACCCUCGUCCACUGUUGCCAGCAAUUCGGUUGGGGACUCAGUGGAGACCGCCGGGGUCAACUCGGAGGAAGGUGGGGAUGACGUCAAGUCAUCAUGCCCCUUAUGUCCAGGGCUUCACGCAUGCUACAAUGGCCGGUACAGUGAGUUGCGACAUCGUAAGG
rnacentral:rRNA from 1 species